rnacentral:rRNA from 2 species
ACCCUUUAAUGUUUGAUGUUCUAACGUAGACCCGUGAUCCGGGUUGCGGACAGUGUCUGGUGGGUAGUUUGACUGGGGCGGUCUCCUCCCAAAGAGUAACGGAGGAGCACGAAGGUUAGCUAAUCCUGGUCGGACAUCAGGAGGUUAGUGCAAUGGCAUAAGCUAGCUUGACUGCGAGCGUGACGGCGCGAGCAGGUGCGAAAGCAGGUCAUAGUGAUCCGGUGGUUCUGAAUGGAAGGGCCAUCGCUCAACGGAUAAAAGGUACUCCGGGGAUAACAGGCUGAUACCGCCCAAGAGUUCAUAUCGACGGCGGUGUUUGGCACCUCGAUGUCGGCUCAUCACAUCCUGGGGCUGAAGUAGGUCCCAAGGGUAUGGCUGUUCGCCAUUUAAAGUGGUACGCGAGCUGGGUUUAGAACGUCGUGAGACAGUUCGGUCCCUAUCUGCCGUGGGCGCUGGAGAAUUGAGGGGGGCUGCUCCUAGUACGAGAGGACCGGAGUGGACGCAUCACUGGUGUUCGGGUUGUCAUGCCAAUGGCAUUGCCCGGUAGCUAAAUGCGGAAAAGAUAAGUGCUGAAAGCAUCUAAGCACGAAACUUGCCCCGAGAUGAGUUCUCCCUGACUCCUUGAGAGUCCUGAAGGAACGUUGAAGACGACGACGUUGAUAGGUCGGGUGUGUAAGCGUAGCGAUACGUUGAGCUAACCGAUACUAAUGAACCGUGAGGCUUAACCUUACAACGCCGAAGCUGUU